GCAGUAGCCGCGGUAAUACGAAGGGGGCUAGCGUUGUUCGGAUUUACUGGGCGUAAAGGGCGCGUAGGCGGGCGAAUCAGUCAGGGGUGAAAUCCCAAGGCUCAACCUUGGAACUGCCUUUGAUACUGUUUGUCUUGAGUUCGAGAGAGGUAAGUGGAACUGCGAGUGUAGAGGUGAAAUUCGUAGAUAUUGGGAAGAACACCGGUGGCGAAGGCGGCGACCUGGUCCAUAACUGACGCUGAGGAGCGAAAGCGUGGGGAGCGAACAGGAUUAGAUACCCGGGUAGUCCCUGUCUCUUAUAA
rnacentral:rRNA from 1 species